AAUCUCAAUGACUAUAUUGUGUUUCUAAUCUUCACUGCAGAUAUGCUCCUGAGAUUACUUGUGCUUUCGGUUUUUCACCAUUACCUGGUGUCACCCUUCUUUAACAGAAGCAUUCUUAUUUUGAUUCCAAAGUUUCUAGAUUCAAACCUAAGUUGAGCACAUUAAGUUGGGCUGAUACUUCAAGAAUACAAUGUGCCAUCAGCUGCCAUCUUUCAGAUAAGGUCAACGUAAAACUUGUCAUGGUACUGUUCGCAGAAUUACAGGGACAUUCUGAUAUCCCGGCAACAUUUAUUUCUGAACCAAUGCCACUACAGUAAUAAAAAUUCUAAAUACAAUCGUAAAAUGAGAUAAAUGAUUACUUGUUUGUAGAACAUUGCUCUGUGAAAAUUCACUUGCAGUGUUUCUCUAUGAUAGUGGUUAGAUUCGGAGGUACCUAUUUGCCUGUGAUUUGUGAUGUACUGAAGCAUUGUAUAAGUACAAAUUUGUUUUUCUUACCAGCUUGAAGAGGUAUUAUUUUCAAACUUAGAAAUGUUCAGUGUUUUUUGUUAUUUUUAUAUGAGCUAAUAGCUAAUAUUCACACAUGUAAUGAAGAACUAAACUCAAUUGCAAGCAAAUGGACUCAACUAGCAGUAUUGUUAAUUUUCAUAGUGCAUACUUUUCAACUUUGGGUAAACCUCACAUUGUAGCUUUGUUAUUUUAAAGUUUCUGGGACCUUCAUUCCUUUCUCUUAAAGUAAUUUUAUUUCAUUUAAGUUACUGGAUUUGGUUAUUUUAAAGGCAGAACUAGAUGUUUGCUUCCUGUAAGUUCAUCAGGAAAACCAGAAGAUGGGGCUACCAAGACUGUGGCAUGAAAUUAUACCAUUGAAUGGAUGGCGUUCUAUUCUACUAACCAGUUCUUUGAGUUGGAGCAGUGCUGCUAUGUACAUGUAGCAGAAUAUGGACUGCCCCAUGAACAGUCAAGGAAUAUCUUUUUGGAUUGACCUUGUGAACCAAAUAUUAAUGAGCCAAAACAACUGUGACUGCAAAGGAUAAGGAGAACUCCUUGGAGAUCUCCUCAGUGUCUCUUUCCUUUAUUUGCAUUGUUAAAGCCAUAAUUUAAGAUGCAAGCUGUUGCUGCAGAAAUUUUCUCUAAGAAUUUUUAGUGGAACAACUAAUUAACAUUUUUCUCUUCUUUGUUUUAAACUUUUGUACUGAAUUACUACACAUGAUACUUAGACGUACCGCAGCUGCCCGUAUUCAAGAAUUAUUCAGAAGGAGAAAAGAAAAGAAGGAAAUGGAGGAACUAGAGACUCAAAACAUAAGAAAACCUACAUUAAAAAUGGUAUACAAAGGCCACCGUAACUCGAGGACAAUGAUCAAAGAAGCCAAUUUCUGGGGUAGUUAUUAUGUAAUUAGUGGCUCAGACUGUGGCCACAUAUUCAUCUGGGAUCGGCAAACAGCUGAAUUACUGAUGCUAUUGGAAGCUGACAACCAUGUGGUGAACUGUCUACAGCCUCAUCCUUUUGAUCCAAGAUUUCCACCUGGGUACAGGGAACCUGAACAUCAUUUCAGUCCACCUGGCACAGCAACAGGUUGGAACUUGGAACAUUUUCGUUGAAACACAGCACUUCCAUCUACAAAACACAGUUUUGGCAUCUUCUGGUAUUGAUUAUGAUGUCAAGAUCUGGACACCAUUAGAAGGAAUACCAACUUUUGACAGAAAACUUGCAGAAGAGGUGAUAAGUCGCAAUGAAUUGAUGUUGGAGGAGACUAGGAACACCAUCACAGUUCCAGCAUCAUUCAUGUUAAGAAUGCUGGCUUCACUCAAUCACAUUAGAACAGAUCGAUUGGAAGGUGACCGGUCCGAAGGCUCUGGUCAAGAGAAUGAAGAUGAUGAAUAAUUAUUUGUCUGCUUCAAGAACAAAAAGCAUCAAGAAAUUUGUAUAACAAAAAAAUCCAGUAUAUUUUCCCUACAAAGCCUUAGUGUUAUUUUAGUUCUUUUUUCUGGAAAAAUACUUUAAUAUGAAAAUUUCUUGGUGCAAAAUGUGUGCAUGAAUUAGGAUGAGGAAGGUGGGAAAGAAUAAGCAAGUUGCUUUUAAUUAUUAUGUUUUAUGGAUGAGAUGCUUGGAGGUUUCAAGUGCAAUAUAUUCUCUAGUGUGCAAACAUAUGUGCUUGGAUCAGUGUUAUGAGCAUAGAGAUUUACCAAACACUAGAAAAGGAGGGUCAAGAUGAAACCUUUCUAAAAUCUGCUGUUAUGCAUGUACACUGAGGGGAAAAAUUCAUUAAAACUUUUGGUUGUUUGAAAAUAAA